rnacentral:rRNA from 1 species
AUUGAACGCUGGCGGCAGGCUUAACACAUGCAAGUCGAGCGGGGAAGAGUAGCUUGCUCCUUGACCUAGCGGCGGACGGGUGAGUAAUGCUUAGGAAUCUGCCUAUUAGUGGGGGACAACAUCUCGAAAGGGAUGCUAAUACCGCAUACGUCCUACGGGAGAAAGCAGGGGACCUUCGGGCCUUGCGCUAAUAGAUGAGCCUAAGUCGGAUUAGCUAGUUGGUGGGGUAAAGGCCUACCAAGGCGACGAUCUGUAGCGGGUCUGAGAGGAUGAUCCGCCACACGGGGACUGAGACACGGCCCAGACUCCUACGGGAGGCAGCAGUGGGGAAUAUUGGACAAUGGGGGGAAACCUGACCCAGCCAGGCCGCGUGUGUGAAGAAGGCCUUUUGGUUGUAAAGCACGUUAAGCGAGGAGGAGGCUACCGAGAUUAAUACUCUUGGAUAGUGGACGUUACUCGCAGAAUAAGCACCGGCUAACUCUGUG